rnacentral:lncRNA from 1 species
GCAUCAUGUAUUUUCCUCCUCCAGCCCUUGAUUUUCAUCUUCUUCCCCAUCAUCACCGACAUUAGCAUUCCCCCUUUAAUCUCUCUCAAGUACUUUCCUUCCAAUAGAUCUCAAAAAAAGAGAUGGAAAUCAAAAGAAAAAGAAAUGAAAAAAAAAAUGUCAAUCUACAUGGAAAAAGAUCUUGCCUUUUAAUUUUCUAUCUUUCCUUUGUUUUCAUUGAUUUUUUUCUAUGUUUUUCCUUUGAUUUUUUCUCUGCUUUAUCCUUUCUCAAGAGUUUCAAUGAGUUUGGAGGCUCAAUCAGAGAGGCCAAAUAGAGAAGUCGAGUCAUGAUCAUCUUCUUCUUCCAUUCUUAAGAGUCCUAAUUGAGUGGAAGGCUUAGGUCAGCUGGAUAGGGAAGUUUAGACGAUGGCAAGGGUUUUGUAUUGAGAGUUAUAUAUAAGAGUUUACAGGAUAUAAGUACAUUAUCAAUUGUGUUGGGAGUUAUAUACUAGAGUUCGAAGGAUAUAAAUAUAUUACCAGUCAAUUUACAAAUAAAUAUGAAGUGUGCCCUAUUGGUUAAGAAGGUUAGACUCACCAA